rnacentral:misc_RNA from 1 species
GAUGAAGAACGUAGCAAAAUGCGAUAAGUAGUGUGAAUUGCAGAAUUCAGUGAAUCAUCGAAUCUUUGAACGCACAUUGCGCCCUUUGGUAUUCCUUAGGGCAUGCCUGUUCGAGCGUCAUUUCACCACUCAAGCCUGGCUUGGUGUUGGGCGACGUCCCCUUUGGGGACGCGCCUCGAAACGCUCGGCGGCGUGGCACCGGCUUUAAGCGUAGCAGAAUCUUUCGCUUUGGAAGUCGGGGCCCCGUCUGCCGGAAGACCUACUCGCAAGGUUGACCUCGGAUCAGGCAGGGAUACCCGCUGAACUUAAGCAUAUCAAUAAGCGGAGGA